UAAGUCCAGGCCGAAAGGCGUAGGCGAUGGGAAACAGGUUCAAUAUUCCUGUACCACCUACUGUGAGUGAUGGAGUGACGCAGGAGGCUAGGUCAGCCAGCGAAUGGAAAUGCUGGUCGAAGGUCGUAGGGAGAUCCGCCAGGAAAAUCCGGUGGGUCAAUUCCGAAAACCGUAAGGACGCUUCGGUCGCAAGACCGGGCGGAUUGACUGACGCCACGCUGCCAGGAAAAGCUCCUAAACGUUGAUCAGUGGGUGACCGUAUCCCAAUCCGACACAGGUGGGAUGGUAGAAGAUACCAAGGCGCGCGAGAGAAACUUCGUCAAGGAACUCGGCAAUCUAGCCCCGUAACUUCGGAAGAAGGGGUCCUCCAAUGGGUCAUUAUUUCGGUAAGAGCCCGCUGGAGGCGCAGUGAAAGGGCCCAGGCGACUGUUUAACAAAAACACAGCACUCUGCCAACUCGCAAGAGGAUGUAUAGGGUGUGACACGUGACCAAUGCCGAAAGGUCAAGGCAAGAGGUUAGCCGCAAGGCGAAGCUUCGACCCAAAGCCCCGGUGAAUGUCGGCCGUAACUAUAACGGUCCUAAGGUAGCGAAAUUCCUUGUCGGGUAAGUUCCGACCUGCACGAAUCGUGUAACGAUCUGGGCGCUGUCUCGACGGAGAUCUCGGUGAAGUUGUAAUACCGGUGAAAAUGCCGGUUACCCGCAGCAGGACGGAAAGACCCUGUGAACCUUUACUGUACUCUGUUAUUGGCUUUUGACAAUUCAUGUGUAGCAUAGCUGGGAGCCAGCGAAGUUCCGACGCGAGUCGGGAUGGAGGCAUCAGUGAAAUACCAGUCUUGAGUUGUCGGAAUUCUAACCAUCAUCCGUGAAUCCGGGUAUGGGACAGUGACAGACGGUCAGUUUGACUGGGGCGGUUCCCUCCCAAAUUGUAACGGAGGGGCACGAAGGUUCUCUCAGCACGGUCAGCAAUCGUGCGUAGAGCGUAUAGGUACAAGAGAGCUUAACUGCGAGACCUACAAGUCGAGCAGGUGCGAAAGCAGGUCUAAGUGAUCCGGUGGUAGCUAGUGGUAGCGCCAUCGCUCAACGGAUAAAAGGUACUCUGGGGAUAACAGGCUGUUCGCCGCCAAGAGUCCACAUCGACGCGGCGGUUUGGCACCUCGAUGUCGGCUCAUCGCAUCCUGGGGCUGGAGAAGGUCCCAAGGGUUGGGCUGUUCGCCCAUUAAAGCGGUACGCGAGCUGGGUUCAGAACGUCGUGAGACAGUUUGGUCCUUAUCCGCUGUGGGCGCAGGAGAUUUGAGGAGGCCAUUCCUUAGUACGAGAGGACCGGGAAUGACGCACCACUGGUGUUCCAGUUGUUCCGCCAUGGAGCAGCGCUGGGUAGCUAUGUGCGGAUCGGAUAAGCGCUGAAAGCAUCUAAGCGCCAAGCCAUCUCCAAGAUAAGAUCUCCCCUACCCGCAAGGGUACUGAAGGCUGGUUGAAGUCUACAACCUCGAUAGGCUGGGUGUGUAAGCGGGGCGACCCGUUUAGCUAACCAGUACUAAUAAGCCGUGCGGCUUGAUC
rnacentral:rRNA from 1 species